AGUGAACGCUGGCGGUAGGCCUAACACAUGCCAGUCGAACGGCAGCACAGUAAGAGCUUGCUCUUACGGGUGGCGAGUGGCGGACGGGUGAGGAAUACAUCGGACUCUACUUUUUCGUGGGGGAUAACGUAGGGAAACUUACGCUAAUACCGCAUACGACCUACGGGUGAAAGCAGGGGAUCUUCGGACCUUGCGCGAUUGAAUGAGCCGCUGUCGGAUUAGCUAGUUGGCGGGGUAAAGGCCCACCAAGGCGACGAUCCGUAGCUGGUCUGAGAGGAUGAUCAGCCACACUGGAACGGAGACACGGUCCAGACUCCUACGGGAGGCAGCAGUGGGGAAUAUUGGACAAUGGGCGCAAGCCUGAGCCAGCCAUACCGGGGGGUUGAAGAAGGCCUUCGGGUGUUAAAGCCCUUUUGUUGGGAAAGAAAAGCAGCAGGUUAAUACCCCGCUGUUCUGGCGGUACCCAAAGAAUAAGCACCGGCUAACUUCGUG
rnacentral:rRNA from 1 species